UAAGAAUGGUGAUGAGGAUGACAGAGGAAUAGAAGCAAUAGAUAUGUGUGUGGCUGUGAUCUUCAAGACCUCAGCUAAAUAGGAAGUCAGGUCUAUCAACCAUGAUGUUAUCUGAGGUUCUCUUUGAAGUCUAGAUGCACCUGAUACGGUAGGACUACAUGAAUCUAAAUCAACGGUCAUAACAUUUUAUUCUAAAAAAUUUUUUGCCAGUGUUCUGUUGGAAUUUUUUUUCUUUUCUUUUCUUUUCUUUUGUACCAAGCAUCAAACUCAGGACCUUGCACUUGCCAGGCAGGCGCAGGUGCCACUGAGCUAAAUCCUCAGCUCCUAAUUUUUAUCUUUUUAUUUUUUAGGUUCUCAGGAAGGUGAAGGUAAAAUUUUCAGUUCUUUCUGGACAUAUACCUAAAAUUCCUUAUUAUUCAUCAACUGAUGAAAAUUUGAGAGAGUCUAAAGAGUAAAAAGUAGUUUCAGAAAUGUACUGACUGUAGAAUUUAACUUUCUAAGGCUUUUCAGGUGUUGAAAUACUGGUAAAGUAUUAAAAAGCCACUUCUCUGAAGCUUUUAAAAUAACAAAGAUUUAGGAAACUGCAAGAUUACAAAUAAUGAAUUUAUACCACUACUAUUAUAUCUUUUACUUUUGGCUUUAAAUAUGGUAUCACAUUGUGGUGCAGUCAAAGGUUUAUUUCCUCUCCUGUGCUCUGAAUUUCCCACCACAGUGCAGUCUAAGAAAUGAAUGUAGCCGCAGCCUCCACCGAUGCUGUAUUCAUGGUUGCCCCGCUCCCCUCCUACUCCAUACCCUGGGAAAAAACGGCAACCUCCAUGGGAAUGAGCGCAUUUUCAGGAAAAGGGGGGUAUUUUCUUAAAGAAUGUGAAACAAACUCAUCCUUUUAUUAAAUCAAAAUGGAUUCGCUAAUGUUUAUACACAUCAAAUGGAGUUUUAUCUCUUUCCUCUUGUUCAAAGGCCCAGACAGUGCCAUUCCCUAGGGCUUGGUUCAUUUGCUCCUAAAGCAGAAGAGACAGUCCACUUUGUUCUGAAGAUUGUUAAUUUUAGGAUAUCAAGGGUCAAAGUCAUUUCAGGCUAAUUCCUAAAGUUAUACUAUAAAAUACAGGAAUGAUUCUAAGUUGUACAAAGUAUGAAAUACUGUAAUAUUUUAACUUUGACCAAAACCUUUACCUUCCUGGGUGUGUCUUUUUUGCCUAUUCAGAUUCAUAUUAAAUGCAACAUUUUUGCUGUUUAAAUUUUAAAAGUUAUGUUUAAAAAUUAACCUUAUAAUUGAACAUUUUUACUAAUACAGGAAAAAGACAGGAUUACUUUUUAAUGAAGGCCAGUCUGUUUCAGAAGGAGAUACCGCCUUCUCAGUUAAAAGAUGCUGACACUAUUUUCAAAACAAUGCCUUGAAUCUGCUGUGGUGUGGGCAGGUAGGAAUUUUGUAUGAAGCUAUUAUUCAAGUAGAAGGAACUAAGGUCAAAGGCCAAAAAAAAACAUUUAAAAGUGUAUGUCUACAGAACUGCACCUGAGAGAAAACUAGAUAAUGUCACAAACUCGUUGGAAUUUUUCCAUGAAUUAUCUGUGUGCUGUUUAGGAUGGUUGGCUAUAGGGCCAAACCAAGGUUUAGUGAAUUCACCAAACAUUUAUGGGGUGCCAAAGUAUGCAAGACCUCAAACAUCAUGGUUAGAGGUAGCAAGCCAUGCAUAUUUGAAGAACCUCCACUUACACCUCUUCCUUUUGGUUCUACUCAGAAAGCCUCCUGAAAGUGUUAUCUUUGAUUAUUCUUUGUAUUUGUGUACCUUUAUCUUAUCAGAAGAUAGACAACAUUUAUACAUAUAAAAUUAAUAAAUUACCAAACAUUCGAACAAAUAGUUCAGUACAUAAUUCAAAUACAUUUGACAUUUAUCAAAGAAAUGCUGGGUGUUAUCAUCUAGGCAGAUAGCUGGAUUAACAUUUGGGGAAAGUUAUCACCCAUUUUUGAUAGGAAUCUCAGGGAAAUGUCCUGCAUCUCAUAGUCAUUGACGAUUGUAUGAAGACUUCCUACAGUUCGGAAAUCUCUUAGAAUGGGAUCUUAGAGAAAAGCCUGCCAACUAGAGGAUUUGUUAAACCAUGGACUUUCAAGUCACCAGAAGGACAAUGAAAGAAAAACUUUUAAAUAGAGAUUGAAGAGAGGAAAAUACAGAAAAAUAAGAGGUGGGAUGCACAGAAAAAAAGAGGAAAGCAAAGGAAUAAACUACAAGCAAUUACACUCUACCAGGUACAGCAUUCACACCCCAAGCCUGACACUAGACUCUGCUGCUCCCUCUGGAAAUUGAUGUGGGCUUCAGUGCUGCUGCUGCCACAGCCAAAAUUGAGUCCCUGCAGUCUUGGCUUGUCCUGUGUCAUGCCAAGAGUCAACAGCAUCUGAAUGGUUGCACCUAGAUCACGUCUGAGCCCUAGCUGCAAGGGAGGCUGGGAAAGUGAGCAUCUGACGCCUAUGGAAUUGUUGGUCUCUGCCUCCUGUCAGUACUCAGGAGGUAGAGAAAUCCACAGCCAAGAGAUCACUUUAGAUGCUGGGUGAUGUCAAGGGUAACAGAAGGUGCAAAAAGGAUGACAAGUCCCCACUAGAACUUUCUUUCAAUACUCCUAAGCCCUAAUUAAGAGCUCCACUCAACAUGUAUCUAGGACAUGGCUGGAAAAAGCCUUGUGCUCAACUUUGAGAAGAAUUAAAUUAAAGGAAUGAUUACUAAGGGUGGGCAAGGUCUAGAGAACCACAAGAGACAGUGCAGCACUCCAGAACUGGCAACAGUAGGGAGCUUUCAACAUCCUGGGCCUGAAGAGGCAAGGGGAGGAAGCAUUUCCCAGAGCCAGAGGCAGGACUGCCUAACUGUGUGGAGAGAAUCAUUUAAAAUAAACGACCCAGCCCUGGGCACCUCCUCACCAAGAGGACAAGAGGAGCAAAUGCCACUCCUUCCUUUCCUGUGGUUCCCUGUUGAAGCUCCCCACCAGCCUGGCCAGAGACCAGAGGGCCAGGGAGCACAUGCAGGUAUGAGCUGCAGAAGAAGACUGGAGAGCAAAUGUGGAGAAAUAAACAGAAGAGGUUCUGCACUUACGGCUUCAUCGAUAUGUCACUGGCAUUUUUUCUUUUUUAAAUUCAGUAUCUCCUUUGGGGAUGUCCCUUUACAUUUUCAGUAGCUCAGCCCACAAGAUCAAUGGACUUAAAAUGUUCUUCUCAUCCUGAAUUUAACGAGAUGCUAUUUCCCCCUUGUUUGCUAUUUAGAAUGUUCUAUUGUAUGGUUCAACAAUCUGCACCAUUAAAGGUUAGCAAAUCCCAACCAGGACAUUUUUUUUCCCUUUCUGGGCUUGGGGAAAAAGGAGAAGAGGUGUGACCUGCACAGACAGCAUCAAAAAUCUCCUUUUCUGAAUCUUCCUGCAGAAAUCCUCUCUAUGUAUUGUCUCAGCACAGGAGAUUUCCUGUUGUUCAUCCCUGCCUCCUCCUCAUUAAUAUCCAGCCUUUUAAAUAAAGCAUGUACAAGAAUAGUCAAUAAAAUAAACCCCACAUGAUUACCAACAGUUGCAGGCCCAUGAGUUCCCCAAGGAUUCACCCACUGUAACCCCUCAUCCUUUGAAAGUACAUGAUAACUUGUGUUAGAGUAAUCAGUUAUUGGGCCAGGGAUUUAGCUCAGUGGUUCCAGUGCCUGCCUCCCAAGCACAAGCUCCUGAGUUUGAUCCCUGGUACCAAAAAAAAAAAGUCACCAGUUAUUUAGUUUGGGAAAGAAUACCAAGGGGAAACCUUCAUCAUCAUCUUCAAGUAUAUGAUGUGUUCCUUCCCAGAGUAUGGAAAGCAAGUGUUUUCCCUGUCCUCAAUCAAGGGAGUGAGUACAGCACGAGGAAUAAAAUAGAAAUAAAAUAAUAAAAUGGUUGCACUUUGAAACUACAAUGUUAAGUGAAAUAAAUCAGACACACAAACUUGAAUAUUGCAUAGUUUCUUUUAUGUGAGAAAUUCAAAAUUUAAAUAAAGAACAAAAUAACAGAUAAUAGGAAGAUAGAUCAUUCUCAAAUGGGAAGGGGAUUAAGAGAGAAGGAGAAGGAGGGGAGGAUGCUGAAAAAAUUAAGAUGUUUUAUGUAUGUGUACCAACUCCACACAAAAAUGUAAACAUUAUGUAUUACAAACAUACUAAUAAAAACUGAUGAAGAAAACAAGCCUACAGCUGGGCAAAAUCAUUAACCACAAAGCCUAUUUUGCAAUAAAAUGUUGAAUAUUUGCCAAAAAAUAACAUUAAUAAAAGUCUUACUUUAAAAUGCAAAUGAAACCAAAUGUGGCAGCACACACCUGUAGUCCCAGCCCUCUGAGCAACUGCAGCAGGAGGAUCACAAGUUUGAGUCCUGCCUGGGCAACUUAACAAGAGCCUGUCUCAAAACACAAAAUAAAAAAAGCUGAAGAUGUAGAAUAGUGCAAAGGCCCUAGGUUCAAACCCUAGUACUACCACUAAAAAAAAUUGCAAAUGACAGAGAAAUACACACAGCAAAGUUGACUUCUAUGCUCUGGAAGUUUGAGCUAAUUAUUUCUAAAAUUAUUCAGGUGCUUUCACAUUUACUACCUAAAUUUUCUUUUGUUGUUGCGAUUUUUGCCAUGGCAUUCACUAAAAUUUGUUUCUUUAAAUAUUUUUUCUUAGGCUUCAUGUUGCAUAUAAAUGUAAAUUUUUGUCAUGUAGAUUGUCUCGUUUAACUUCCCUCAAAUAUCCAGCUGGCAGCUGAAUACCUCAAUUUGGAUUUCCCACCAACAUGUGCCACACUUACAUGUGCAGUUCAGAACCAGCAUGUGCAAUGCCGUGGUACCUUGGUUCACAAACUUAAUGUGUUUUAUGAUUUGGGGGAAGAUGGCUGCGUUUGUGUUUGUGUGGGGAACAUGACCAUGGUUGUGUUACCCAAUGUGGAGUUUGUGAACAGAAGCAAAGUCUUAUGUUACCACUUGUACAAUUCCUCUAUGGUUGGCUAUCACCCUUGGGUUACUGAAAAGCAUGGCAUGGCAUUCAAAUCUUUGUCCCUCAUUGUUCGUCUUGCUCCCCAGCCCAUAUCUCAUUGCUUCAUGGACUCUGAUCACUCUGAGCCACUUGAUAUUCCAUACCACUCAUGGGGAGCCCACACAUAGACACCAACAUGCUUUUGCACACACUUUUCCCUCAGCCUGAGUUGUUCUCCAUCCCAUCUGGCCUGGAGACCUUCUCUUCACCCUUCUAGUCCAAACACAGUCACUCAUUGUGUACUUGCAUUGUUUCUUGUGCAAAUAAUAGGGCAGAACAUCUGGCCAAAGGCUCCUGAUGGUCCAGCUGAGAAGUAGUGCAGAAGACUAGAUGAUGGCCAGGGAAAUGGAGUGGGCAGAGUCUAGGGUGGUGAUGGCAAACCUUUUAGAGCUUUCAAUGAUAACAAACAGCUGGCUGCAGCAUGCAUGUCAUAGAUUCUCCUCCACUAGUCUAGGGCAUACUCUUUGUGUAGAGUUUUCUAGACCUUCUGAUGGGUUGGCUGUGGGGACAAGAGGAGAGAAGAAAUCCAAAUCAGAGCAGGCAGCUCCAUCAGCAGGAACAAAUUACAGGGAAAACUACACCCUGGGACCCAACUUCAGUAAUUAUCACCUCUGUGUCAGUCUUGUUCCUUUACACCCCAACCUCCUUCCUCCUGCUGCCCAGCCCCACCCACACAAUGGCUUAUUUUGAAGCAAGUGCCAGACAUUUUAUAAUUUCACCUGUAAAUAUUAUGUCUGUAUUUCUAAAAUAAAAGAACUCUUUUUAAAAAAACAUAAUACCAUUAUCAUUUCUAAAAAAAAUUACUGAAGAAUGUAAACAAACAAAACUAAUACUAGUACUUUAUAUCAUUGGGUAUACGGGUAUACAGUACAUUUAGCAAUUACGUUUUCCCAAUGUGUUAUUUGUUGUUGGUUGUUUGUUUGAAAUGGAAUCUAAAUUGGCCUAUAGACAGUAUUGAUUUGUUGCUGUGUUUCCUAACUCCCUUUUAAUCUCUUCCCCCCUUACCUUUGUCUCUUCCAGUUUGGUUGUUGUCAUUAGUAAUGUUGCUGUCACUGAAGAAACUGGAUGUUCGUUCUGUACAAUGUUAGAAUUUCCUGAUUGCAUCACUGUGGUGUUGUUUAACUUGUUCUUGUGUCUCCUCUAUUUCCUGAGAAUUUAUUUUAUCAGAAACGGGAGUUUUGUUGCUGUUGUUGCCUUGGGGAAGGUCAGCAUGACCAUUUCAUAGAUGGUGUUUUAUAUGUUCAUCAAGAAGCUUAUCAUGUCUUAUUAUCUAUUUUUGUGAUGUUAGCAACCAUCAAUGUUUAUUACCUAUAUCUAUUCAUUUAUUAGACCUGUCAAAGUGGCAGUAUUCUGAUUGUAUCUUUUUUUUCUUCAUUUUCUGAGUGAGAUGUUCUGGAAAGAGGACAGUUCAUACAGAAAAAAUAGUAGAAGCUAUGUGUUUUAUAUUCCCCUUCAUAUACCAAUUUUCUAAAUAAUGAGUUGUUCCCAGGGGCCAGGGAUGUAGCUCAGUGGCAUUGUGCUUGCCUCGAAAGCCCAAGGUCCUGAGUUUGAUCCCUGGUACUGGAAAAAAAAAAGAGUUAUUCCCUGUCAUCUUCCAAAGGUCAUGAAUGAAUGAAUGAAUUUACUUUUAUUUUAUCAUUAAUAUUAUUAAGGGAUUACUUGCUAAAUAUGUUUAUAUGUAGAUUGCAGUUAUAUUUAUUGAUAUCUAAAUUAUUCUGUCUUUGGUCAAUGGAAGCCAAAUCAAGUCAGCUCUAAACUACUUCUGAUAUGACCCUAAUUUCUUUUACAAGCUUCCUCCUUUCUGGUAUGUUUCAAGUUCAUCUUGUGUAUUUCCUGCUGCAGACCUGGAAUCAGCCAUUUCUCUUAGAAUUUCCAGGUUCCUUUCAAUGGGAAAUAUUGUUUAGAGACCACAAUCUGGGCAGUAAGUACACUCAUCGCUUCUCAGCUAGUUACUAUUUACAGUGGGCAAAGACAGAAUAUGUGUGUGUGUGAUUUUUUAAAGAAAUUGCAUGUCCAAUUCAAAUUCAGGAUAACCAUGGAUAUCCAUAAAGUGUCUUCUUUCUCCUGUGACGAAAAUCUCAAUUCUAAACAAUCCCAAUGUAAUUUCCAGUUUUCUCUAUUUCAUACUACACAAAAUCAACUUCAAAAUAAUUAGACAAAAACUAAAUUAACAAUAAACUAACUAUAACAGUUCAGUUUUUUUUCUUUGUCUUUCAGGUACAUCCCACUGCGGAUUAUUGUCAAAUUAAUGUAUUAUAGGAUCACUGAGAAUAGUUCCUCUGUGUGUGGCUACACCACCAACUGGUUACAUAGUUAAUUUCACUUACUUUGCUUUACAUUUUUAAUAGUUCCUUCUUAUAACUAUGAAAAUAUUUACCUGGUUGCAAAGUCAAAUAAAUCUACAAACAAGGUACAUUAAAAGCCUCAUUCUCUUUCUCUACAAUAUUAAAACAUGAUUUAUCCUCUUUCUUUUUAUAUGAGAAAAUAUCUCUACAUGCUUGUAUUCCUCUCCUCUUAGAGAAAUGACAGCAUACUAUAAACACUUCCUCCUCCUGUUUUCACUUAAUAGUACUUCUUAGUGGUAAAUACCAGUCUUUGAUUUGGGCUCUGGUUCACGGUACUUAAAUUUUCAGCAGAUAGCUGCAGGUUCUCACUCCUCUCUCACUCACGUGCCACAUGCGAACUGUCAUGGUUUAACUUCAGAAUCCAAGGCCUGACCCCUCUCACCACUCUCCUCUACCCUGCCAGAGCUGUCAGCUCUUACUGGAACCAUUGCAGUAGCUCCUCAUCACUGCUCUCCUUCAUCUACCCUCAGUGCCCUCAGGUCUGUUCUCAGCGAGUCAAAAGAGCCAAAGUCUUACUCACCUUUGGGAGCUCGCACCUCAUCCUUUUCUCUCCCCACUCCACUCUGGCCACACUUGCAAUGGCUAGUGGGCUCAUCCUCCUUGUAUCUGCAAUGCUCACUCUCUCGCCCCCUUCAAAUUGUUCUUCAAAGUAGCACCUUCACGGUGAACUUUACUCUUCCCCCUUCUAAAAUUGCAGCCUGACCCAUCCCCACCUCAGCUUUCCUUUGGCCUCCUCUAUUUUCCCAUACUACUUAUUACCUUCUGUCAUGCUGAAGAAUGGUUAUUGUCCAUUCAUUUAUUGUUCUCCACUGGAAUGUACAUUCUACAGGGUAUGGAUCUUUAUCUGUUUUGCUCACUAAUAGAUCCCCACUGCCUAGAAAAGUGCCUGGCACAUAAUAGGCACUUAGUAAAUAUUGUUGAAUGAAUGAAUAAAAACUUUCUUAACUUCAACUGAUAAAGUUACCAAACUGUGGCCUAGUGUUACAGGAAUAUUCAGAACCACAAUGACCAUCUGACCCAUAGGAGAACAAGGACCCUUUUCCAGUGACCAGAACAUUACUUCUUCCUCUGCCAUAUCCUGAGGCUCUGCAUAUGAGAGUUGAUGAGGGUCAUGUGAUACUUUUCUACUAUCACACAGCUGAAAGAUAAUAACAACUUACUAUUUAUAUGGUUUAUUAUGUUAAUGUAAGUUUUACAUAUACUAAUUAAGUCAUUUGAUCAAUAAAACAAUCCAGCAAAGACCGUUUUAUGAUUUUGCUCAUUUUAGAAAUGAAGCCACUGAAGCACAAAUAGAUUUUUUUUUAAUUGCUUAUAACUAAUAAUUUAUUUAUGGUAGAAUUAGGACCAGAAUCUCCAGGGAGUUUGGCUCUAGAACUCAUGCUUUCAAUUAGUACUAUCCAACAGGUUUUGGGCAAUGAUAGCAAUGUUCCCUAUCUGUACUGUUCAGUAUGGUGGCGCUAAAGCAGUGAUGGUGAACCUUUUAGAGACCAAGAGCCCAAACUGCAACCCAAAGUCCAUUUAUUUUUUGUAAAGUGCCAACACUGCAAUUAAACAUGAAUACUGAGAGUUUAGUUUAGAAAAAAAACACCUCAUACCCUUGGCUUGCAUUCCAACAGAGAGGGCUCUGUGUGUCCACUGCGGCACAUGUGCCAUAGGUUCACCACCACUGGCCUAGAGUCACAAGUGGCUGUUGAACAACUGUAAUGUGACUAAUUCAAGUGGAACUCAAUUUCUAAUUGUACUUAGUUUUAAUUUCAGUUUAAAUAAGAAUAUGUCAUUACUGUGUGGAAAGCUCAACUUUAAGCCAAUAUAGUCUUGUGCUUUUUAGGUAUGAUUGACAGAAUAUCAAAGAAGUUGUAUAAGGGUUUGUUGCAGUUGUUCUUCAAAUCCAAGGGUACAUCUUUGUGGGAUUCUAAGAAAUGGCUAGAGCCAAUGAACUUUAAGUCUCCCAGUGUCAUCUAUAACUUAUGGAACAUAUGGCUCUCUAAUUUCCAAGCAUUCUUAGAACAAAAAGAAAAACCAUAAAGAGUAUGUUGUCCAGAUACAUUAUGUUCCUUUUUGUUGAAAGAAAUAGAGGAUUAAAUUGUUCUGACUCUAAUUUGUCCUUAUUUAAGUGCAUACUUGUGAAGAUAAAAAUAAAGUUAAUCAUAAGAGGUAGAACAUGACAUUGCAGGUUCAAUUGAAAAUUGCAAGUUAUAUUUCUAUUGAUGUUUAAAUUAUAUUUUUUAUUUUUGAAAAAUAUAUAAACUAAUUUUUAAAAAAAGAUGGGAAAAGACUAGACAAAUUUUACCAUCUGGAAU
rnacentral:lncRNA from 1 species